rnacentral:lncRNA from 1 species
CUUGAAGCUUCUCAAUCUUGCAUUGAUCUUAAAAAAGAAAGAAAGAAAGAAACUGGGAGAAUCCUCCACUGACAUCCUCUUGGCCUGUAUCUAUGUGGUAUGGAGCUGACCCCGGGCUCUCAGAGGCUCUGAUGGUCGAGAAUAAGCUCUGGCUGGUCCUGCCAAGCUGGAGGGGGAUUGGGGCCAAUCCUGGCUACAGACUUGGAUGAUUGAUUGUCCAAGGAUCAGCCUAGCUGAGCUCGGAAAGGCUCAGUAACAGAUGGGCUGCAGGGGGGUGAAUCUUUUCAGUCUCAAAGACCUAUCCCUCUGAGGCAUGGAAGCAUUAGAAUGUGUCAUCUUUUUACAAGGAUGGAGUCCUCUUCCUCCACCCCCCAGUGGCAUCAUGGGCUGUUGAAAUUAUGAAGGAAAUAAAAGUGGGGCAGAAGAUCUAAGAAGAGAGAGGUCAGUGUGGGCUGGACAGUCAAGGAAGGCUUCCUAGAGAAGAACACACUAAAGUUUGGGUGAGAUUUAGAUCAGCUGCUCUGGUGGAUCUGCUUAUCUCAUCUGUAUCCCUGGUAGCUAUCCUGCCCCUAAGCCCUUUAAUCUCCUACCAAGACCCAGUUUUUCCUGACUGAUAAGGAAGGAAGGAAGGAAGGAAGGAAGGAAGGAAGGAAGGAAGGAAGGAAGGAAGGAAGGAAGGAAGGAAGGAAGGAAGGAAGGAAGGAAGGAAGGAAGGAAGGAAGGAAGGAAGGAAGGAAGGAAGGAAGGAAGGAAGGGAGGGAGGGAGGGGGAGAAAGGGACGGGGAGAGAGAGAGAGAGAGAGAGAGAGAGAGAGAGAGAGAGAGAGAGAGAGAGAGAGAGAGAGAGAGAGAGAGAGAGAGAGAGAGAGAGAGAGAGAGAGAGAGAGAGAGAGAGAGAGAGAGAGAGAGAAAGAAAGAAAGAAAGAAAGAAUUAUGGAAGGAAGGAAGGAAGGAAGGAAGGAAGGAAGGAAGGAAGGAAGGAAGGAAGGAAGGAAGGAAGGAAGGAAGGAAGGAAGGAAGGAAGGAAGGAAGGAAGGAAGGAAGGAAGGAAGGAAGGAAAGAAAAGAAUGGAAAGGCAGCAGGGAAGAGAACCCUAGUU